AUUGAACGCUGGCGGCAUGCUUUACACAUGCAAGUCGAACGGACUUAGGUGCUUGCACCUAGGUUAGUGGCGAACGGGUGAGUAAUGCAUCGGAACGUACCGUGUAAUGGGGGAUAACGCAGCGAAAGUUGUGCUAAUACCGCAUACGAUCUACGGAUGAAAGCAGGGGAUCGCAAGACCUUGCGUUAUACGAGCGGCCGAUGUCGGAUUAGCUAGUUGGUAGGGUAAAGGCCUACCAAGGCAACGAUCCGUAGCGGGUCUGAGAGGAUGAUCCGCCACACUGGGACUGAGACACGGCCCAGACUCCUACGGGAGGCAGCAGUGGGGAAUAUUGGACAAUGGGGGGCGAACCCUGAUCCAGCCAUGCCGCGUGAGUGAAGAAGGCCCUCGGGUUGUAAAGCUCUUUUGUCCGGAAGAAAGCAAUCGGUUAAUACCCGGUUGUUCUGACGGUACCGGAAGAAUAAGCACCGGCUAACUUCGUGCCAGCAGCCGCGGUAAGGAG
rnacentral:rRNA from 1 species